rnacentral:rRNA from 1 species
UACAGAGGGCGCGAGCGUUGUCCGGAAUCACUGGGCGUAAAGAGCGUGUAGGCGGCUUGGUAGGUCCGCUGUGAAAACUCGAGGCUCAACCUCGAGAUGUCGGCGGAAACCACUUGGCUAGAGUCCGGAAGAGGAGAGUGGAAUUCCUGGUGUAGCGGUGAAAUGCGCAGAUAUCUGGAGGAAUACCGGUGGCGAAGGCGGCAUCCUGGACCAUAACUGACGCUGAGGCGCGAAAGCUAGGGGAGCAAACGGG